CAAGCCGCUUCCCCUUUCCCCACUCGACAUCAACACGCAGCAGCCCAGCGGCCCCGCACUAUCGAGCACCCGCCCGAAGCCGGCAAGCGAUCGGAGCCAAGAACGCUCGGCGACGGCGACAGGAAGGCGCCGGCCCUGGCAGGGAUGCGUCCCCGCGCGCCUGCCCCAAAAAUCAACCCCUGCACCUCUUGACCACAGCAAGCCCCCGCGACUCAGCCAAAGAAAAGAAAACCCAGAUCUGCGCAGCUUGGCGGAGCGGGGAGGAGAGCAGGGGCGGGCGGUAGGGUACCUCGGUCGACGGCGGCUCGACGCCGGGAGCUGCCGGAAGGUUGUACGGCGGGGAAGGAAGCCGGGUAGGCAGGGCGAGGAGGAAGCGGCGCUGAAAAGGGAAGGGAGGGAGGGAGGGAGCCAGAUGCGCGGACAGACGGACGGGCGGGGCAGUGAAGUCGUCACCGUCUACCACCACGGACGGCACCACCCCCACCCCACCCCACACGGGUGCAAAGCAG
rnacentral:lncRNA from 1 species